UAGGGUGCCAUUAGCCAGGAGAGCUCCUGCCCAGGAUUUGUACCCAGCCACAUUGACACCCAGAAUGGAGCUACCUUGCCCAGCUUCCCUUACAACCAGGCAAGGAUGUCACAAUGUAGAACCAAUGGGAUGAAGGCAGAAACGUUGUGCGGCAGCUGCUGAGAACCUUCCUUAAAACCUAGUCAGAAUGAACCCUAUACAACCCUAUACCCAUCUGCCUUGGCAUACAGUUGUUGAAUCCUGGGCUGCGAGGACAGAGGUCCCUUCCAGGGGUGAUGGAGUGGUGAGUAGAAGGGAGCCUGGGUCCUGAGGACUUAAGGCAGAGUUGCCUUACCAGCUGUGGAAGGCAGAGCUUGGGCCUCAUGACUUUUGCCCUUGGCAUUAUUCAUGGAUAUGUUACAUUACAUGGCAAAAUGUAAUUAAGGUACCAAUUAGUUGACCUUAAAAUCGGAAGAUUGUCCUGGAUUCACCAGGUGGACCUAGUUUAAAUUGUAUGAGCCCUUGAAAGGGAAGAUCUUUUUCCAGCCCGUCGCAGAAGGGGAAGGCAGAGAUUUGAAGCAUGAGAAGGAUUCGCCAUGCAAUUAUUGGCUUGAAGAUGAGGGCAUCUGCAUGUCAAGGAGAUAGGGAUCUCAGUUUCACAACUGCAAUGAACUGAAUUCUGCUAACAACCUAGAUGCACUUGUAAGUGGAUUCUUCCCCAGAGUCUGCAGACAGCCCAGCCCAGCCAACACUUUGAAAGCCAAAGUGGAUUUUAGCUUUGAGAGUCCCUGAGCACAGAACGCAACUGCGCCACACUGUACCAGGACUUCUGGUCCAUGGAUGCUGUGAGCUAAUAACUUUGUGUCUUUUAAAGCUGCUGCAUGUGUGGUGAUUUGCUAUGCAGCAAUAGACAAUGGACAGGCUAGCCUGUAUGUAAGUGAAAAACAUCGUUUGUUUUCUUCUCAAUUGCAGCCCAACCUGAUCACAACUAAUGCACAAACAAAUAAUCCAAGGCUGAACUGUUGACUGUGGAGACAGGAGAUGCAGUGAAGAAUAUUUCUAUUUGAGUGACCCAGGUGGAGGAAGAGAGUGGAGGCAAGAAUAUAGAUGUAAGCAUCCUUGACCUCCCCAAUUCAUUGCUGGGCAGGAGGCAGAUAAACAGAGGCUUCCAGAAGGGUUCAUGUGAGUCCUGGAGCAGAAGGUUUGUCCAUGCAUCUUCAGACAUGGCCUGGAAAGAUUACUCACCUCUCAGAAAAAUCUGGGGGGCUGCUGCUUCUCAUAUUGAGUUAGAAGGCAGAGCUUGGACACUGGACCAAAUUGAGGACUAGCUAAAAUGCGGAUGGGGCAAAAACAACUUUCUAUAAGAUAUGCCCAACAGAGUGCCAUGUCGGUUUACCAUUGCCAGGGCAACACUCGAGCGGUACCACCUUUGUCCAUGGCAAUGACUCAACCACCUAGAAAUUACCACUCUUUUUCAAGAAAUUUUUGCAUAAUCUGUCCCUUAAUUUUCAAAGUAAAUAUAAGUGUGAGUACAAAACUGCUUCUGAGCUGCUGCUCUGGGCACACUGCCUCUGGGGUAGCCCUGCUCCACAAGGCACAACACCUCUGCUGCUGCUUC
rnacentral:lncRNA from 1 species